GAAACAUUUGUUCUCAAGCAUGCAUUGAUACACCAGGGUCAUUUAUUUGUGAGUGUAGAGAUGGAUUUUUAAAGCUUCCUAAUGGCACUUGUAAAGAUAUUGAUGAAUGUGAAAUUGACAAAUCUGGCUGUAAACAGAAAUGUAUCAAUGUCCCUGGAAGUAGCAACUGUGACUGUUAUCCAGGCUACAGGUUAAAAGAUGACAGGAAGACUUGUGAAAAACAUGAUGUUGAUCCAUGUGAAAACUUUUACCUGAACUGCAGUCAAGGAUGUACUGUAUCUAAUGAAACAGCACAGUGUUUUUGUGCUAUA